rnacentral:lncRNA from 13 species
CUGGGUCACACCUUUUGCCCUUGGAUGCAUCACCUCAGCUGCCAGCCCAUUGAUGAGAUGGCCUCAUGAUUGUUUUGUAAGAGCCACCUGUCCCCUAAAAGUCCUGCCUGAGGAAGCAGCCAGCACAACUGUGUAGGCUGGUGGCAACAGGUACUAUAGAGUGAGUUUUCACUGGGACGCGGCGUGAUUAAAUAGAAAGGACCUGGUUGGAAUAUAAUAGUGUAAACAGAAGCACUGCGUCCAUAGACACUGCCUAACGGCUCACCCGUGGAGAAAACACAGUCCUCUAGGCUCUGCUCUCCUGGAAUCCUCAGAAAUUCCAUGACACCAUGCAACUUCUCUCCAUUUUUUGUGUUCUUCUCGUAAUCCUGUCCCAGGCAAUAUCAAUGGAGCGCAGUAUCCAACAGAGUGUUUACAAUUUAACGGCAUUUUCUGGAACCCAAAGAGCCUCCACUGUGUGUACCUAUCUGCAAGAUGCAAAAAUAACAAGAACAUUCGCUGCCUCAAGUCAGCAUAAAGUAUCAGUCCACACCCAGAAAGUUUGGUGGAGACAGGCAACUCCAUUACUCAGUGUAAAAUAAAGUCUGUGCAUUUCCUGGGCCAAUCCCUCGUGCUGUGAAGUGGCUCUUUCUGAUGUGGGUUUACAGGGAAGACAAUGCCUAUGAGAUCUGGAGUCAUAGCUCUGGUGCCAUCAAGAGAUCUGCACCAAACAGGGAAAAUAACACAGACACACUGAGUUGAGUUUUAUACCUCCAUGGAGGCCUAAUACGAUGGCAAAACAUAACACUUCCAUAGACACUUUCUUU